rnacentral:rRNA from 1 species
UACGAAGGGGGCUAGCGUUGCUCGGAAUUACUGGGCGUAAAGCGCACGUAGGCGGCUUUCUAAGUCGGGGGUGAAAUCCUGGAGCUCAACUCCAGAACUGCCUUCGAUACUGGAAAGCUCGAGUCCGGGAGAGGUGAGUGGAACUGCGAGUGUAGAGGUGAAAUUCGUAGAUAUUCGGAAGAACACCAGUGGCGAAGGCGGCUCACUGGUCCGGUACUGACGCUGAGGUGCGAAAGCGUGGGGAGCAAACAGG